AGACAAAGCCAUAUAUGAUUGAAGGUUAUCAGUACUGUGCUUUUGGAGGAUUCAGAAGAAGUUAUAUCUGAUUGGGAGAUUGAAAAGGAUUGGCCUGAAGGAGAGGUGGUUUUUGAACUGCAUCUUAAAGGAUGAGGAAACUGAGGCUGAGAGGGUAGAGAACUUUGCCUGAGGUCACUCAGCAGGUAGGUGGUGGAGCCAGGGGUGUAACCCGGGCUGCGGGCCUCCACAUCAGAUACAGACAGAACAGGAAGGUGUUGCAGAGGCUGGCGAUGCUGCGAUUCUCUGGGUAGCAAAGGGAGGGGACAUUCCCAGCAGAAGGAACGGUUUGUGUAAAGGUGUGGAGGUGUGAUACGGUGUGGCCUGUUCAGGGUGGUGACUAACAGUGGCCAGAGUGAAGGGUGUGUAGAGAGGAGUGCCAGCAGAUGAGGCAAGGGGCUGGGGACUGGGGCCAAGGUGGAAGAACUUCAGGUUCCAGGCCAAGGAAAUGAACUUUGUCCUUGGGUAGAGGGGUGCCACAGGAGGCAUUGAACAAGAGUGCAACCUUGGGUUUGUAUGGUGAGCCUCCAGCAAUACCUUGGCAGGUGGGAUCCUCAUGUCCACCCCGGGUGCCAGCCACAUUUUACAGGCUGGGAAACAGAAUGGUUAUGAGACCGGCUCAGACCACACAGCAAUAGACAACUGGCCCCAAGCCAGUUCUCUCGUUGUCACAGGACGUUGCUUCGAAACUCAGGUCAUAGUGAGAAAGGCAGGGGCAUCCUUCCGUUCCUCACUUCUCCAGCCCUGUGCCUGCUCAGCUCACUGGAGAACGUGAAAUGAAGAUCAACUGGACCGAGGCCCAGGCAUAUCUGCUCACCAAGAAUAAGACAGAAAACAAUAAAAGCAAAUCAUGGAGCUCCAGCUAUGUGCUAGGCACUGGGCUGGGAGGAAACUAAACAGAGAACAACAGUGCCAGGCACUCUCUCUGAUAAUGAGUGUUCUGGACUGAGGGUCCCCCAGACUGGCCUAGGAGGUGCUGUCCAAUCCGCCUGAAGAGCUGGAAUGGGCUCCAAGUGGAGAGAACUGUGGGAUUGCUGGCUCAGCCCCCAACUAUGCAGUGACCUUGGACGGAGCGGGCCCUCUGGGAGCCUUGGCAAGCCAGUUGCUAAGAGGGGAGACUGCACCAGAGAAGGGAUUUUUAAUAUAUGAAACCUUGGGGAGCUCCUCAAGCUGACUCGGGAGGUCUGGGGUAGGGACUCUGAUUGGGGUGUUUUGACAAGUUCCACCGGAAACUCGGAAAGCACACCUGGUUAGAAAUAACUAGAUGAUCAAGGUCCUUCCAGAUUCAGUUCAACAAAUUCAACACAACACAUGUUUACUGAGCACACACCAUGCCAGGUGCCAUUCUGCAAUGUUAGGAUACAUCAGUGAGCAAAAUAACAAAAAGUUCUAGAAGUUAGAGAUACUGUGGACAGGGGAAAGCGGUGCUAGGCAAGGUGGUGAGGAGGGCAGGGAUGUGGCAGUUCCAGGACUCAGCAGGAUGGGCAGGGCUGGCCUUGUUGAGAAGGAGACUGGAAAAAGCAAGGGAGCCAACUGAGUGACAUUUGGGGGAAGAGCAUUCCAAGCAGUCAACAGCAAGAGCAAAGGCCCUGACAGGGAGCACGCAGGCAGGGUGGCCAGCGUGGCUGGAGCGGAGUGGCCAAGGGCUGGGGUGGGGUGAGGGGCAGGGGCCAGCUGUGGAAUGCUGCUCCUACGUGCUAGUGUUCUAAGACUCAUUCAGCACUGCCCUGAGUAUCUUGACUCUGAACCUGUCCCUGCCCUGACCCCUUCCCCAAUCAACUUUAAUUUUAGGGACCCACCCAUCACAGUAAAUGCCAGCACUGCUGAUGCCAAAACAAUGUUAUUUGUAGGCCCUCGGAAUUUGUGACCUGAAGGAAGAAGAGCAGGGCCGUGGGAAGUAUGUAACCAGUGUCAUGCCCCUGGUCCCAAGGAAGCAGUGGCUUGGUAAAGAGGGGACCCCCGUCAAUAACUCCCUGUAAUUACUGGGCACCCACUCUGAGCUCCUCAGUGGAAUCCUAAGGUUAAUAAGACUGUCUCUAGCCACUGGGGCUCCCAGCCUGGAGUGAGGUAAGAGGAGUGGAGCCGGCUGGGGAGGGAGACGAACACAUACACAGAAGAUUCAGACACACUUGCAAUGUAUUGCUGGGGAUUCUCCAGCAUUGGCAUGAUGGAGAGGGUGGAGAAUCAUUUGACCGCCUCCGCCUAGGAUUGCAGAGUUCAGCUGGCCAUCAUCCACCAGCCGGGGGACUGUGCACAUCAGUUAACCUCUCCUCUCAGGCCUUGAAAAGCACCAGGCUUAGUACACGUUUGUUAAAUGAAUGCACUGCAGUUUUUUUGCUUGUUAAAGGCAGGUAAUAAUAAUGAUAUUGCUGACUAAGGGCUCCCAUCCACUCCCAGUGAGCCCGGUGCCCCCCCGGGCCUCCUCAGUGAGCUGAGGAGGCUCAGCAGUGCCUGCACGUCCCCUCGCCACAAUGUCAUGUGCCACCUCUUCAAAGGAGGGAUGUACCAGCUAGUGGACGUGACCUUGACUGCAAAGGGCGGCACGCAGCUGAUGUAAUGGUCGCUUAAGUGUUCACAAAUGCCUGAACACCCUGUCCUACCUGGUCCUACCUGGAUGCUGGCCUCAGUAAGCUCCUGGGCUCAUUGAAGAUGAACCUAGCAGUAGUAUUUACACCACUUGUUGUGUGCCCACUGUGGGCCCGGCGCCAUGCCGAGUGCUCUAUGGAUGUGAGGCACUGUGUUAGGAUUCACUGAGUUGUCACAAAAAUCCUGCAAAGUUCAUUCUCGAGGACGCUCUGGAAUUUAAAUACCUUGCCAAGAUCAUACAGAUUAAGUGGUGGAGCAGGGAUUUGAACGGAGAGAAACGGAGGCCCAGAAAGCAGAAAUGAUGUGUUAAGAUCACUCAUCAAGCUGAUGGUACAGAGGUUAGAGCCUCUGCUCCCUGCUCUACCUCUUUCCCUUACUCCACAUCCAUGCCUGUCUCUUCCAAUGGGUCGGCAUCCACCCUGACACAUUAAAGCCAAAAGGAACCUUAAGCUAGGGAAGGGGCUCCAGAACUUUAGUGAAAGAUUCAAACAUGUCCACUCAACUCAAUGGAGAAAAUACAAUAUUCAAUCAA
ensembl:lncRNA LINC02395 long intergenic non-protein coding RNA 2395